GGCUGGCUCAGUCAGUAGAGCAUGUGACUCUUGAUCUCAGGGUUGUGAGUUCGAGUCCCACAUUGGCUG
rnacentral:tRNA from 1 species